rnacentral:lncRNA from 1 species
CAGAUUUUCAUUAGUUUACAAAUAUUUACAAAAUACUAUGUACUACUCGGUGUCUUCUUUACUGGAUUAUAAAUGUAGAAACAUGGAAAGUAAACACAGGACCUGUCAUGGUCCAUGUUCAAGGACAUUUGGGCCAGAAAUAGAUACACUGAUGGAAAACAGGGCCACGGGAGGUGGGAGAGAAUUUAAACGUGUAAUUUGAACAUUAAACAGCCAGGAACUUCCAGAAAAUUCUCUUGUGCUGCCAUGACCAGUAUCAAAGAACUUUACAAGGCUGAGGAGAGCCCACCAAAUGUUUUAAGUGUUUUGAGUCUAAAAUCUGGGUAUUAAAGCUUGGGCCAAGUGGGAGAAAAAGCAAUCUUAGGAAAAGAAAGUGCUAAGUCUGGUCCCUGGAGUUUAAGGCUUGUGUAAUGACAGGCAAGAAUAAGAUGAUUAAUAUUUUCAGAACUGUCCACUUCAAACUCUGAUUCUCAUGAAGGCAAAAAGGGUGAAAGGUAGUAUUCACACUCCCAAUUAGAAGCCUGAGAGAACAGCAAGAACAGCUGGCACAAGGAUGUUGUAGAAAUAACACAAGAGAAGACCCACACUGGGGAUUCUAAAGCUGCUCCUUUGUGUUUCGAUGGCGUUGCCACCGACAAACCUUUCCCCUUCCAGUCACACAGGGGCCACUGGAAUCCCAAUCCCUUGACAAAACACCAGAUGCCUGAGAUGUUUAUUUGAUGACUGGUUGAACGGGAGGAAAAAAACUCCUUUUCUCUCGUCUUUGGAGUUCACCUACUUAAACAAGAAGUCUGUCUUUUGUGCCUGUCACCAUCGUGUUCUGUGAGGAGGUUUCAGUCCUUUACUCAAGGCAGAAAUCCUUCUUAAGCCUUGAUUUUCUUGUUUGGGCCUCUUACAUGAAACAGACACAGGCUGUUGACAGAAAUGUUGAAGUGGCCAUGAAGUCUGGAGCCCGGAUGUCGUUCACCUGCCAAACAGUGUCAAGGGUGAAAGGCAAAGAUCGAAGGCCAAAGUGCCCCUAGCGUCCCCUGCAGCAGGUCUCAGUCAACCUUAAUAGAUCUAUUAAUAGAAAGAGGCUGGACUGCGCAAG